rnacentral:rRNA from 1 species
ACCCGCUGAACUUAAGCAUAUCAAUAAGCGGAGGAAAAGAAACCAACAGGGAUUGCCCUAGUAACGGCGAGUGAAGCGGCAACAGCUCAAAUUUGAAAUCUGGCUCUUUUAGGGUCCGAGUUGUAAUUUGCAGAGGGCGCUUUGGCAUUGGCAGCGGUCCAAGUUCUUUGGAACAGGACGUCACAGAGGGUGAGAAUCCCGUACGUGGUCGCUAGCCUUUACCGUGUAAAGCCCCUUCGACGAGUCGAGUUGUUUGGGAAUGCAGCUCUAAAUGGGAGGUAAAUUUCUUCUAAAGCUAAAUACUGGCCAGAGACCGAUAGCGCACAAGUAGAGUGAUCGAAAGAUGAAAAGCACUUUGGAAAGAGAGUUAAAAAGCACGUGAAAUUGUUGAAAGGGAAGCGCUUGCAGCCAGACUUGCCUGUAGUUGCUCAUCCGGGUUUCUACCCGGUGCACUCUUCUAUAGGCAGGCCAGCAUCAGUUUGGGCGGUUGGAUAAAGGUCUCUGUCAUGUACCUCUCUUCGGGGAGAACUUAUAGGGGAGACGACAUGCAACCAGCCUGGACUGAGGUCCGCGCAUCUGCUAGGAUGCUGGCGUAAUGGCUGU